AGGACGAACGCUGGCGGCGUGCUUAACACAUGCAAGUCGAGCGAACCUUCGGGUUAGCGGCGAACGGGUGAGUAACACGUGGGCAACCUGCCUCGAGCUCUGGGAUAACCCCGGGAAACCGGGGCUAAUACCGGAUAUGACCCGAGAAGACAUCUUCUCGGGUGGAAAGUUUUUCGGCUCGAGAUGGGCCCGCGGCCUAUCAGCUUGUUGGUGGGGUAACGGCCUACCAAGGCGACGACGGGUAGCCGGCCUGAGAGGGCGACCGGCCACACUGGGACUGAGACACGGCCCAGACUCCUACGGGAGGCAGCAGUGGGGAAUAUUGCGCAAUGGACGAAAGUCUGACGCAGCCACGCCGCGUGCAGGAAGACACCCCUCAGGGGCGUAAACUGCUUUUGUACGAGAAGACACCCCAUUCUGUGGGUCUGACGGUAUCGUACGAAUAAGGACCGGCUAACUCCGCGCCAGCAGCCGC
rnacentral:rRNA from 1 species